rnacentral:rRNA from 1 species
GGAUCAGUACGCUGGUCGUGCCUCUGGUAUGUACUGGUGUCACUGGUUCCUCCCUUCUGAAGAACCAUUAUGCCAUUCAUUUGGUGUGGUGGGAAAUCAGGACUGUUACUUUGAAAAAAUUAGAGUGUUCAAAGCAGGCCUAUGCCUGAAUACAUUAGCAUGGAAUAAUAAAAUAGGACGUGCGGUUCUAUUUUGUUGGUUUCUAGAGUCGCCGUA